GAUGAACGCUAGCUACAGGCUUAACACAUGCAAGUCGAGGGGUAACGAGAGGAAAGCUUGCUUUCCUUGUCGACGACCGGCGCACGGGUGAGUAACGCGUAUCCAACCUGCCCCCAACUAGGGAAUAACCUUGCGAAAGUAAGACUAAUACCCUAUAAUUUCCUCAGAUGACAUCUGACGAGGAAUAAAGAUUUAUCGGUUGUGGAUGGGGAUGCGUCUGAUUAGCUUGUUGGCGGGGUAACGGCCCACCAAGGCAACGAUCAGUAGGGGUUCUGAGAGGAAGGUCCCCCACAUUGGAACUGAGACACGGUCCAAACUCCUACGGGAGGCAGCAGUGAGGAAUAUUGGUCAAUGGGCGGAAGCCUGAACCAGCCAAGUAGCGUGCAGGAUGGCGGCCCUAUGGGUUGUAAACUGCUUUUAUACAGGAAUAAAGUUAGCCACGUGUGGUUAUUUGUAGGUACUGUAUGAAUAAGGACCGGCUAAUUCCGUGCCAGCAGCCGCAGUAA
rnacentral:rRNA from 1 species